rnacentral:rRNA from 1 species
UACGGGGGGGGCAAGCGUUGUUCGGAAUUACUGGGCGUAAAGGGUUCGUAGGUGGCCUGUUAAGUCAGACGUGAAAUCCCUCAGCUCAACUGGGGAACUGCGUCUGAGACUGAGAGGCUCGAGUGCAGGAGAGGAACGCGGAAUUCCAGGUGUAGCGGUGAAAUGCGUAGAUAUCUGGAGGAACACCGGUGGCGAAGGCGGCGUUCUGGACUGCUACUGACACUGAGGAACGAAAGCCAGGGGAGCAAAC